rnacentral:rRNA from 1 species
UACAGAGGGUGCGGGCGUUAAUCGGAAUUACUGGGCGUAAAGCGCACGUAGGUGGCGACGUAAGUCGGGUGUGAAAGCCCCGGGCUCAACCUGGGAAUUGCAUUCGAGACUGCAUUGCUGGAGUACGGAAGAGGAGGGCGGAAUUCCAGGUGUAGCGGUGAAAUGCGUAGAUAUCGGGAGGAACAUCAGUGGCGAAGGCGGCCCUCUGGUCCAGUACUGACACUCAAGUGAGAAAGCGUGGGGAGCAAACAGG